GCAAGUCACAACAACGGACAGCACUCUACUCUCCGUAGUGAACUCCAUGUGGCUCUGAAUAACCCCUGACGCCACUACUCUCCGUAACAAACUCUAGAUGGCUCUGAACGACCCACUACCAGGCAGUUACAGAUAUCGCUGUCAAGCAGUUAUGCUCUCCGUCUAUAAAAAGAAAUUCUCAGAUACAUUCUUCUCUAAGCUCAAAAAACUC
rnacentral:lncRNA from 1 species